rnacentral:antisense_RNA from 1 species
UCGAGCAGAUCGGCCUCGCCAAAAUACUCGCCGUCACCCAGCAAUGCAAUCCGCAACUCCUCGCCAUGAGGACCCUUGCUGAUGACCUCAGCCUGUCCGUUGGCCACGAUGAAGAAGCGCUGCUUGUCCUUACCUUCCUCGACAAAGAGCUUAUCCACAUCCACCUCCUGAGCCUCGAAGGCACUCACCAGACGAUGCAGAAUAUCAUCAUCAAACUCAGAGAAGAGGGGGAUGGCUUUCAGGUCUUUAGCGGUAAAAGAAGGUACACCAUUCUGGAACACGAUGGGCAGGCGGUCGUUCUUGCGAAGUUCCACCUUGGUACGGUUCACACGGAAUGUGCCACCCGAUACCUGUACCCAAGGCAGGAGCUUGAGUAGCAAACGAGGGGUGAUAGACCCCAUCUGAGGGGCGGUCUUGGUAGUGGUUGCCAGACGUCUGGCUGUAGCAGU